CCGCUGCCCGGUCAUCUGCCAGAGCCCCGGGCCCCGCCUAGGCCCUCCACGCUCCGCCCCGCGGCGCGAGCCGCAGGCUUUCCUGAAUAAGAAAGGUUGCCACAUCUCGGGUUUGCCGCGGACUAACUGAACAUACUGGGCGACCUCCGGCUGCCGCCUCCUGACAGCCCAUAGACGUCCAACCCCGCUGUCCCUAAGGGGAAACUUCAAGAUUGAAGGCCAUGGACUUUAUUCCCAACGGUCUGCCUAAAUCUCAGACAAUAGACCGGUAGAGUUGAGGUGCUGGAGAACGGAGUAUCACCCUCUAAACCUACGACCCACCACCAUGCCCGAUUCCCAGUUCGGGCGCCAUCCCACCAGUCCCUUCCACUACCUUUUCCCACUCUGCCUCAGUUCUAGGAGCCCUCCCUCCACCAAUCUCACAAGGCUCAAUAAAUACCAAAAGAUCUGCAUUUACAGCA